AGCGAACGCUGGCGGCAGGCCUAACACAUGCAAGUCGAGCGCCCCGCAAGGGGAGCGGCAGACGGGAGAGUAACACGUGGGAACGUACCCUUCAGUUCGGAACAACCCAGGGAAACUUGGGCUAAUACCGAAUACGUCCGUAAGGAGAAAGAUUUAUCGCUGAAGGAUCGGCCCGCGUCUGAUUAGCUAGUUGGUGAGGUAAUGGCUCACCAAGGCGACGAUCAGUAGCUGGUCUGAGAGGCUGAUCAGCCUCACUGGGACUGAGACACGGCCCAGACUCCUACGGGAGGCAGCAGUGGGGAAUAUUGGACAAUGGGCGCAAGCCUGAUCCAGCCAUGCCGCGUGGAUGAUGAAGGCCCUAGGGUUGUAAAGUCCUUUUAACGGGGAAGAUAAUGACGGUACCCGUAGAAUAAGCCCCGGCUAACUUCGUGCCAGCAGCCGCCGUAAUAC
rnacentral:rRNA from 1 species